GGCACGGUGACUGACCGAUAAGGUGCUGGGAUUUGCAUCCCCUGGCCUCAAAAGGAACAAUCUUUUGAGAGCGGGUUUGAUUCCCGUCCGUGCCU
rnacentral:tRNA from 1 species